rnacentral:rRNA from 1 species
GAUGAACGCUGGCUGCGUGCCUAAUACAUGCAAGUCGAGCGCACGGACGCGAAGCUUGCUUCUCUUAUGUUAGCGGCGGACGGGUGAGUAACACGUGGAUAACCUACCUAUAAGACUGGGAUAACUUCGGGAAACCGGGGCUAAUACCGGAUAAUAUUUUGGACCGCAUGUUUCAAAGUUGAAAGACGUUCUUGCUGUCACUUAUCUCUCGAUCCGCGCUUCAUUAGCUAGUUGGUAAGGUAACGGCUUACCAAGGCAACGAGGCAUAGCCGACCUGAGAGGGUGAGCGGCCACGCGAGAACGGAGGCACAGACCAGAAUCGUAAGGGAGGCAGCAGUAGGGAAUCUGCCGGAAGGGGCGAAUGUCGGACGGAGGAACGACGCGUGAGGGAUGAAGGUAGUCGGAGCGAAAAACGCUGUUAGGAGGGAAGAAGAUAUGUGUAAGUAACAGGGCACAGCGUGACGGUACCUAAUCAGAAAGCCACGGCUAACUACGUG